AUAAUGCAUGAAUAAAUAAUAAAAUAAUUUUUAUAUUAGUUAUUAUUACAAGUUUGGGGUUUGAAAAUAACAAACAUGACUUUUACAAUACUUUAUUGUUUAGAAUUCUACACACAGUGUACUAAAACAAUUAACAAAAAUAAAAUUAUAAAUAUUAACAAUUGUUUAAAAACAAGGUAUUUAAAUAAGUUAAGGAUGAGAAUGGUUCUAUAAAUAAAUUAUAGGAUUCAAAAUUUUGUAAGUACUUAUAAAAAUGUGUUUCAAUUGCUCAGUACUUAACUUUAAAUUUUCAAUUAUAAUUAAUAACAUAAAGAAGUAUUAUUUACUUUGAUAUUAAUAUAUACAAUCAUAAUAUACAUUCUUUCAUAAUCGAGUAUUAUUUCAAAUUUUAACAUUCAUUAAAUUUGCUUAAACAAUCAUACACAUAUUAUUAAGGCGAUCCAUAUGAGUAUGCGAGUUUAAUUUAAAAUGUACAUUCAAAUUCAUAUAUGCUGAGUUUUGAUUCAUAAAAAAAUCUCUUAACUUAAACUUACAAAAUAAAACACAAUAACUAUGGCACACAUUUGUCUCAUGUAACACCAAAGUCCUAACCUGAAAUGACUCAAUGCAUUUGAAAUUAAUUGAAACACCGAUCAAUUGACUUUAAUACUGUCUUGUAUGUAUGUACUGGAAGUCAAUUAAACUUUAUCAAACUUUUGCUGUCGACUAUAGCCGAGGGAAAAGUAUAAAAAUAGCAAAGUUAACGUAAAAUUCUAUAAAUCUUCAUUUAUUAACAAAACUCCGAAAACCCGGUAGUAAUCAGAUUACGAUAACGAGCAAAUUAACGAUAACUCUCUUCGUCUUUUUUUUCUUUUCUUUACGAUUUACACAUUUACAUGUCAGUUGACACAACCGAAUUCAACUGACAACAAUCACAAUCUGUACCACAGACUAAGAUUAUUGUAUUGUAGAGUAAAGUAUUGAAUAUGGGCAUCUACUACUGAAACUGUUAAAUUCCAUUGAUAAUAGAAGCCACCCAUUUGGAACAAGUUUUUACUUAUUCCAUUAACUAUAAAUAAUUUAAUACAAAAUAAGUACAUACAAAAGACAUUAUUUUGUUGUUCAUCUUCAUUUAAAUCGUACAAGCCAAAGGAACAUACCUAAAAUAAAAAUGGUAGCGAAAUAUUGCGUCACUAGCGUCAUACGUCAAAAGUUUUGAGGAUCGUGGACAGUUAGGUUUUUAAUGGUGAAAUUAGUCUUAAAAUUCAAUUUAUUAUUUUAUGUAUUAGUACUGUCGGUAUAAAUUAUUUAAUUAUUUAAUAAUAUCCAUAAUGCUGAGAUUUUAAAUUUAUUAUUACUGUAGUAAUGUUGUUAUUUAUGUUCAUGGCUUCUAUACACUAGUGUUAAGUUGCAAAUUUUAUACCAACAAGGAAGGGAAGUUUAUUGCUUGUUUAUGAAGGAUUUGCAUUUAGACUCAAAAACAAACUUGCAUAUGGAAAAAAACAAUGGUAUUGUACAUCUAGAACCAAGACUGGCUGCCAGGUCGAUGUGACGACAGUCAUACACAGAACAGGAAACCUCAUAAAGAGAGUAAGAAACGCGCACAACCAUCCCGCUCCUGGAUUUUAUAGACGUAAGGAUGGAUCUUUUAAAAUUGUCUAAUUCUUCUAUAAUAUACGUUUUUCUGAGUGUGUACAUGAUCUUAGCAGUAAGAUGUUUUUAAACUGAUUAUGGGAACUUUGUAUAUUGACUGUUUCUACAUGAAAUUUAUAUUAAAUAUAUUUAUAACCUUAAUGAUACAAAAUGUACCUGGUAACAAUGUAAUUUAACAGACUGUUUUGUAAUAUUUUAGAUUAAGAAAUUUGCUCAUUCUAAUUUGAGACUGACUUAUUCUCUACCUCAAAAUAAAUUGUAAGAUCAUUUUUUAAAUUAUUUCCCUAGUCGGUAACUAGUUUAUAGAAUUUUGCUUGGUUAUUAAAUCUAGAUAAAGUUAUUGUAAUUCAAAAAUAUAUUCAACUGAUUUGUAAAUAAGACUGAAUUUUUUGAUACUCGUUUUCUACCUCAGGACAUGAAUAAAAAAUAUUUGUAAUUUCUUGUUUUCUUGAUACCAUAUUAGAUUAUACCAAGUCUAAUAUUCAAGAUGAUAAAAAAGAUAAGAGAAUAUAAUAAUCGACUAUAAUUUCAUUCAGAUUUAUAAGCCUUUGGCUGCCAUGUAGAUUAUGAUUGCUCUAUGUGGUGUACUAAAGUAGUUAUGUCAAUUUCUGUUAUUAAGAGCCUGGAUUGUCUAACUUUGCCUUCUUUUGGUUUAAUGUAUGUUUUGGUCUUUUAGGUCUCUUAGUCUCUCUAGAUUCAUUCUCAGUAUCUUCGGAUUCCUCUUUCCCAGAAUCUACUAGAUAUUCCGGCGCCUUAUUGGCAGAAAUCGACAUAAUUACUUUAGUGAGCCACGUAGGACACCAGUGACCUACAUGACAAUCAUAGAGUUAAAUAAUAUAGUAUUAGUAUUGUACUGUAUAUGAACUGAUGUGAUGUUACUGGAAUACCUUAAGACUCUUAAAUCUAACAAAUGUGAUAGUGAUUUUUAAAACGUGGUAAAAUAAAUCAAACAAAAAAAUAGCA